rnacentral:rRNA from 1 species
ACGCUCGACACCUACGGGAGCAGCAGUGAGGGAUAUUGGUCAAUGGGGGAAACCCUGAACCAGCAACGCCGCGUGAGGGAUGACGGUCUUCGGAUUGUAAACCUCUGUCCUCUGUGAAGAUAAUGACGGUAGCAGAGGAGGAAGCUCCGGCUAACUACGUGCCACAGCCGCGGUAAUCUGAGCGGGCUGGCAAGGC